rnacentral:lncRNA from 10 species
GCACGUGCCUGUAAUCCCAGCUACAUGGAAGGCUGAGGCAGGAGAAUCACUUGAAUGUGGGAGGCAGAGGUUGCAGUGAGUGGAGAUUGCACCACUGCACUCCAGCCUGGGCAACAGAGCAAGACUCGGGCUCAAAAAAAAAAGCUAAAGUGAGUCCUUCAGGCUAAAAUGAAAGGAUACAAGAUAGUAACUCAAAGCUAUAUGAAGAAAUAAAGAGCACUGGUAAAUGCAACUAUGUCGCUAAAUAUAAAAGCUAGUAUUACUGUAUUUUGGGUAUGCUAUUCCUCUUUGUGAUUUAAAAAAUGCAUAAAGGCCGGGCGCGGUGGCUCAAGUCUGUAAUCCCAGCACUUUGGGAGGCCGAGGCAGGUGGAUCAUGAUGUCAGGAGAUUGAGACCAUCCUGGUUAACAUGGUGAAACCCUGUCUCUACUAAAAAUACAAAAAAUUAGCUGGGCAUGGUAGCGGGUGCCUGUAAUCCCAGCUACUCAGGAGGCUGAGGCAGGAGAAUGGCAUGAACCCAGGAGGCGGAACUUGCAUGGCACAAUCACGGCUCACUACAACCUUGACCUCCGCAGGCUCAGCUGAUCCUCCCACCUCAGCCUCCUGAGUAGCUGGAACCACAGGUGUGCACCACCAUGCCCAGCUUAUUUUUCUAUUUUUUGUAGAGACAGGAGUCUUGCUAUGUUGCCCAGACUGGUCUCAAACGCCUGGGCUCAAGCAAUCUGCCCACCUCAGCAUCCCAAAGUGAUAGGAUUACAGGCCUGAGUCCAACCAUAAGUAAGUUUUUGUUUUUUGUUUUUGAGUCAAUCUCUCUGUCCCCCAGGCUGAAGAGCAGUGGUGCGAUCAUGGCUCACUGCAGCCUCACCUCCAGGCGGGAGCCACCAUGCCGGUCAAUUAACUUUUUUGUUUCAGUAAUCACUUUAAAUGUAAAUAAUCUGACCAAUGGAAAGAUCGGCAGAAUGGAUUUUUUUUAAAUGAUGUAAUACACAAUCCAAAUAUGCAACUUACAAAAUACUCACUGUAGACCCAAGACACAAAUUGUUUCAAAAUGAAAAGACGGAAAGAGAUAAUCCAUGCAAAUAGUAACCAAAAGAGAGCUGGGGUGGCUAUACUAAUACCAGACAAAAUAGAUUUUAAGCCAAAAAAUGUUACAGAAAGACAUCGUAUGUUGGUAAGAGAGUCAAAUCACAAGAAGAUGUAACAAUUAUAAAUACGUAUGAACUG